UUCACUUUCUGAAAGCAUUUCUUAUUCUUGAUAAUUUGUUUUUUUUACCUUAUCCAGAACUCUGAACAUGCAGAGAGGUUUUUUUAUUAUUAGCUUUGAGCAAUGAUUCUAAGUUAAUCAGCAUCAACUAAAUGUCUGUAAGUUGGCUGAAAACAAGAAAUUUCUGAAGAACGUUACAGUGAAUGGCAGUGAGAUGGAGCACAAUACUGGGAGUACAGCUACGAAGCCAACGUGUCUUGCAAGAAUAUGUUUGUUGCUCUUUUAUGCCAUUGGUAAACACGGUUGUUUGGAUCCCAGCUCUGUCUGUGUUGCUGCUUCAUAUUCCUGAUGGGGUGCGCACAGAGAGGGACCCCUGCACCACCCUGCGUGGAGCACAUCCUGCUGAGCGUGAGGUUCCAGCUCAUUUUAUCAGCACAAAGGGAACUAAGCUGCCUUCCUGUCUGAUAACUCAGCACACCAGGAAUAAAAGUCUCCUACCACAAUGGACACAUUCACCUCAUGGGUACCACAAGCCUCCAGAGCCAAAGCCAUUUUGCUACGGUUAUACCCAAGCACAUACAACCAGGAGAGCGGGGAUGCACCGGAGGUUUGUUACGUAUGGACUGGCUGCAUUUAUUUCUGGGAGCAGGCAAUUGCAGGAAGACUGGCCAUAAGAUGAGAUUUUGGGAUGCUGUGAUAGUUUCUGGCUGAGCAUGUAUAACUAAUUUAAUCUUAAAUCAAUUUACAAUAUAAAUAAUGAAGCAGCUGUUAAUGGGCCUCUGGCUGGGCAAGUGUCAAGCCAGACUGCACAACACGGAAAGAAUCAAGAGGAACAACUUGUCUGAUUACAUAAUUUUUUUGUAGAACAUAAAUAAAUUAUUCCCUCUUACUGGCA
rnacentral:lncRNA from 1 species